rnacentral:rRNA from 1 species
AACACGUAGGUAACCUGGCCAUAGGACAGGGAUAACGCACGGAAACGUGAGCUAAACCAGAUAGGCAUUUCCACGCAUGAGGGAGAUGAGAAAGGCGGAGCAAUCUGCCGCUUAUGGAUGGACCUGCGUCGCAUUAGCUAGUUGGAGUGGUAAAGGCACACCAAGGCGACGAUGCGUAGCCGACCUGAGAGGGUGAGCGGCCACACUGGGACUGAGACACGGCCCAGACUCCUACGGGAGGCAGCAGUAGGGAAUCUUCCGCAAUGGGCGAAAGUCUGACGGAGCAACGCCGCGUGAGUGAAGAAGGUUUUCGGAUCGUAAAGCUCUGUUGCCAGGGAAGAAGAGCAAGGAGAGGAACUGCUCCUUGAGUGACGGUACCUGAGAAGAAAGCCCCGGCUAACUACGUG